UCCUACGGGAGGCAGCAGUGGGGAAUAUUGCCCAAUGGGGGAAACCCUGAUGCAGCAACGCCGCGUGAGUGAAGAAGUAUUUCGGUAUGUAAAGCUCUAUCAGCAGGGAAGAAAAUGACGGUACCUGACUAAGAAGCCCCGGCUAACUACGUGCCAGCAGCCGCGGUAAUACGUAGGGGGCAAGCGUUAUCCGGAUUUACUGGGUGUAAAGGGAGCGUAGACGGUGAUGCAAGUCAGAAGUGAAAGCCCGCGGCUCAACUGCGGGACUGCUUUUGAAACUGUAUGACUGGAGUGCAGGAGAGGUA
rnacentral:rRNA from 1 species